UACGUAGGGGGCGAGCGUUGUCCGGAAUGACUGGGCGUAAAGGGCGUGUAGGCGGUGAGAUAAGUCUGGAGUGAAAGUCCUAUUUUCAAGGUGGGAAUUGCUUUGGAUACUGUCUGACUCGAGUGCGGAAGAGGUAAGUGGAAUUCCCAGUGUAGCGGUGAAAUGCGUAGAGAUUGGGAGGAACACCAGUGGCGAAGGCGACUUACUGGGCCGUAACUGACGCUGAGGCGCGAAAGCGUGGGGAG
rnacentral:rRNA from 1 species